GUCAAUAUGUCCGUGUGGUUAAGGAGAUAGACUUGAAAUCUAUUGGGCUUUGCCUACGCAGGUUCGAAUCCUACUGUUGACG
rfam:Ipomoea nil DNA, scaffold: scaffold1250, cultivar: Tokyo-kokei standard.